AGUGAACGCUGGCGGUAGGCCUAACACAUGCAAGUCGAACGGCAGCACAGUAAGAGCUUGCUCUUACGGGUGGCGAGUGGCGGACGGGUGAGGAAUACAUCGGAAUCUACUUUUUCGUGGGGGAUAACGAAGGGAAACUUACGCUAAUACCGCAUACGACCUACGGUUGAAAGCAGGGGAUCUUCGGACCUUGCGCGAUUGAAUGAGCCGAUGUCGGAUUAGCUAGUUGGCGGGGUAAAGGCCCACCAAGGCGACGAUCCGUAGCUGGUCUGAGAGGAUGAUCAGCCACACUGGAACUGAGACACGGUCCAGACGCCUACGGGAGGCAGCAGUGGGGAAUAUUGGACAAAGGGCGCAAGCCUGAUCCAGCCAUACCGCGUGGGUGAAGAAGGCCUUCGGGUUGUAAAGCCCUUUUGUUGGGAAAGAAAAGCAGCAGGUUAAUACCCCGCUGUUCUGACGGUACCCAAAGAAUAAGCACCGGCUAACUUCGUG
rnacentral:rRNA from 1 species